ACUCCUACGGGAGGCAGCAGUGGGGAAUAUUGGACAAUGGGCGCAAGCCUGAUCCAGCCAUGCCGCGUGAGUGAUGAAGGCCUUAGGGUUGUAAAGCUCUUUUGUCCGGGACGAUAAUGACGGUACCGGAAGAAUAAGCCCCGGCUAACUUCGUGCCAGCAGCCGCGGUAAUACGAAGGGGCUAGCGUUGCUCGGAAUCACUGGGCGUAAAGGGCGCGUAGGCGGCCGAUUAAGUCGGGGGUGAAAGCCUGUGGCUCAACCACAGAAUUGCCUUCGAUACUGGUUGGCUUGAGACCGGAAGAGGACAGCGGAACUGCGAGUGUAGAGGUGAAAUUCGUAGAUAUUCGCAAGAACACCAGUGGCGAAGGCGGCUGUCUGGUCCGGUUCUGACGCUGAGGCGCGAAAGCGUGGGGAGCAAACAGGAUUAGAUACCCUGGUAGACUGUC
rnacentral:rRNA from 1 species